rnacentral:lncRNA from 1 species
GCAGAAGACCCAUUUCCGAGCUGCACCAGAGCAUGAGCUGAGAUUACAGGGAGGCCUCACCAUAUAUGUGAUGCUGGGGAUAACCCCCAAGACUUCAUGCAUGCUAGGCAAAGACUGUAAUGGACUUUUAAGCCUUGUUGAGCCACUUAGCAGCUACAUAACUUUGGAAUCUUACUGAAGCCAUUUGGAUUCUCAAGACUUCUGCAAGCCGAAUGGUGUUACCUCAGUGAAUCAAUAUUGUUGUUUACACUGGUACCGAGACUUAGGAAAGCAUCUACUAAUUUCUUAUUGGGUCAAAGACAAGGGUUCUCAACCAUGCCAGAAGCGGAAGCAAGCGUGAGAGAUAGGGAGUUGUUUUCACCACCCUCUGAUGUUCGAGGAAUGACAAAACUUGAUAGAACAGCUUUUAAAAAGACAGUGCCCAUCCCCGUGCUUAAGGCGAGGAAAGAAGUAGUCAGCAGAUUGAUGCGAGCCCUCAGGAGAGUAGCGCUGCAGCGCCCGGGCAUAAAGCGAGUGAUUGAGGACCCCAAGGAUGAAGACAGUAGGCUGAUCAUGUUGGAUCCCUACAGAAUGCUUACCAGUGAUUCCUUUGAGAAACCAGAACUCAGUGCUUUAAAAGAACUUGAUGUCAACCCACAGUUAUCACAGUACAACUUGGAACUCACAUAUGAAAAUUUUAAGUCAGAAGAAAUUUUGAGAGCUGUGCUUCCUGAGGGUCAAGAUGUGACCUCUGGAUUCAGCAGAGUUGGACAUAUUGCACACCUGAAUCUCCGAGAUCAUCAGCUGCCGUUCAAGCAUUUAAUUGGCCAAGUUAUGGUUGACAAAAACCCAGGAAUCACCUCAGCAGUAAAUAAAACCAGCAACAUUGACAAUACUUAUCGA